UCAGGAUGAACGCUAGCUACAGGCUAACACAUGCAAGUCGAGGGGCAGCAUUGGGAUAGCUUGCUAUUCAGAUGGCGACCGGCGCACGGGUGAGUAACGCGUAUCCAACCUCCUGCCAGUAGGGAACAGCCCGGCGAAAGUCGGAUUAAUGCCCUAUGUUCUCAAUGCGGACAUCUAAGUUGAAGGAAAGAUUCAUCGCUGGCAGAUGGGGAUGCGUCCGAUUAGCUUGCCGGCGGGGUAACGGCCCACCGGGGCGACGAUCGGUAGGGGUUCUGAGAGGAAGGUCCCCCACACUGGUACUGAGACACGGACCAGACUCCUACGGGAGGCAGCAGUGAGGAAUAUUGGUCAAUGGGCGUAAGCCUGAACCAGCCAAGUAGCGUGCAGGGAAUGACGGCCCUACGGGUUGUAAACUGCUUUUAUGCGGGGAUAAAGUGCGGCACGUGUGCCGCUUUGCAGGUACCGCAUGAAUAAGGACCGGCUAAUUCCGUGCCAGCCGCUGC
rnacentral:rRNA from 1 species